CACCGGCGUCCCGAGUGGGGGUCACAUAUUGGGUCUAAAGCAUCCGUAGUCGGCCAAGUACAUUCCUUGUGAAAUCGAUGCGCUUAACGCAUCGGCGUGCGGGGAACACGGCUUGGCUUGGAACCGGGAGGGGUAUGCAGUAUUUCUACGGGAGCGGUAAAAUGUGAUAAUCGUAGGAGGACUACCUGUGGCGAAGGCGGCAUACUAGAACGGAUUCGACGAUCAGGGAUGAAGGCUAGGGGAGCAAACC
rnacentral:rRNA from 1 species